UACGAAGGGGGCUAGCGUUGCUCGGAAUCACUGGGCGUAAAGCGCACGUAGGCGGAUCUUUAAGUCAGGGGUGAAAUCCCGGAGCCCAACUCCGGAACUGCCUUUGAUACUGGGGAUCUUGGAGUCCGGGAGAGGUGAGUGGAACUGCGAGUGUAGAGGUGAAAUUCGUAGAUAUUCGCAAGAACACCAGUGGCGAAGGCGGCUCACUGGCCCGGUACUGACGCUGAGGUGCGAAAGCGUGGGGAGCAAACAGG
rnacentral:rRNA from 1 species